GCGUAACGCGUAUGCAACCUACCUAUACAGGGGAAUAACCUUCGAAAGGGAGACUAACACCCCAUAGUAUUGAUUUAAGGCAUCUUAGAUUAAUUAAAUAUUUAUAGGUAUAAGAUGGGCAUGCGUAUGAUUAGCUAGUUGGUAAGGUAACGGCUUACCAAGGCGACGAUCAUUAGGGGUCUGAGAGGAAGUCCCCCACACUGGUACUGAGACACGGACCAGACUCCUACGGGAGGCAGCAGUGAGGAAUAUUGGUCAAUGGGCGCAAGCCUGAACCAGCCAUGCCGCGUGCAGGGAAAGACGGCCUUAUGGGUUGUAAACUGCUUUUACAUAAGACUAACCGUAUAUUUGCGAAUAUACCUGAAUGUAUUAUGAGAAUAAGGAUCGGCUAACUCCGUGCCAGCAGCGGC
rnacentral:rRNA from 1 species